AUUGAACGCUGGCGGCAUGCCUUACACAUGCAAGUCGAACGGCAGCACGGGUACUUGCACCUGGUGGCGGGUGGCGAACGGGUGAGGAAUACAUAGGAACCGGUCCUGUCUUGUUGGAUAGCCCGGCGAAAGCCGGAUUAAUACCGAAUACGAACCACGGAUGAAAGCGGGGGACCGUCGGUUCUCGCGCUAUAGGGUUGGCCGAUGGCGGAUUAGCUAGUUGGUGGGGUAAAGGCCUACCAAGGCGACGAUCAGUAGCUGGUCUGAGAGGACGAUCAGCCACACUGGGACUGAGACACGGUCCAGACUCCUACGGGAGGCAGCAGUGGGGAAUAUUGGACAAUGGGCGAAAGCCUGAUCCAGCAAUGCCGCGUGUGUGAAGAAGGCCUUCGGGUUGUAAAGCACUUUUGUCCGGAAAGAAAACCUUGACUCUAAUACCGUCGGGGGCUGACGGUACCGAAAGAAUAAGCACCGGCUAACUACGUG
rnacentral:rRNA from 1 species